GAUGAACGCUGGCGGCGUGCCUAAUACAUGCAAGUCGAACGAAGAUCCAGCUUGCUAGAUCUUAGUGGCGAACGGGUGAGUAAUACAUAAAUAAUCUGCCCAUAUGACUGGGAUAACUAUUGGAAACGAUAGCUAAUACAGGAUAGGUUGAUUGGAGGCAUCUCUGAUUAAUUAAAGUAGGAUUUCUACACAAAUGGAUGAGUUUAUGGCGCAUUAGUUAGUUGGUGGGGUAACGGCCUACCAAGAAGAUGAUGCGUAGCCGACCUGAGAGGGUGACCGGCCACACUGGGACUGAGACACGGCCCAGACUCCUACGGGAGGCAGCAGUAGGGAAUUUUCGGCAAUGGGCGCAAGCCUGACCGAGCAACGCCGCGUGAGUGAUUAAGGCCUUCGGGUUGUAAAGCUCUGUUGUAAGGGAAGAACAUUCAGGAUAGGAAAUGAUCUUGAACUGACGGUACCUUACCAGAAAGCCACGGCUAACUACGUGCCAGCAGCCGCCGUAAAAC
rnacentral:rRNA from 1 species